rnacentral:rRNA from 2 species
AAACUUUCAACAAUGGAUCUCUUGGUUCCGGCAUCGAUGAAGAACGCAGCGAAAUGCGAUACGUAAUGUGAAUUGCAGAAUUCAGUGAAUCAUCGAGUCUUUGAACGCACAUUGCGCCCCCUGGUAUUCCGGGGGGCAUGCCUGUCCGAGCGUCAUU